GUCAUAGUGAUCUAUGAGCUCUUCCCUUGAACACAUCAUGAAAAUGUUCUCUGGGUAUUAUUGGGUUGUCCUUCUGGCAGUGUUGGAAGUUGCCCAACUUCAGGUUGUUCUGAUCCAAUCAAAGGCUGUGGUGAAGCGACCUGGAGAAUCAACCCAACUGGUGUGCAUCAUGGAUAUUGCCGACCAGUGGUGGAUGUCUUGGCUUAGACAGGAACCCGGGAAGCCCCCUGAAUGGCUGAUCAGCUACUGGAAACCAUCUGCCACAAACCAUUAUUCUCCCACCAUCCGCAGUCGCUUCACAGCCUCAAAGGAUGGCAAUAAUUUCUACAUGCAAAUGAAGAACCUGAAGCCAGAAGACACUGCCAUGUAUUACUGUACAAGGAGAGAGAGGCACUGUGAAUUACUCUAA